rnacentral:tRNA from 1 species
GGAGAGAUGGCCGAGCGGCUUAAGGCGCGCGCCUGGAAAGCGCGUUUACGGGAGACCGUAUCGCGGGUUCGAAUCCCGCUUUCUCCGCCA